GAAGCCCUCACCUGAAAACCUCUCAACAAUAAAGCGUGCUAUGGACUGGACCUACACUCAAAGAAGAAUAUGGAUCACAACACAAUCUCCAUUAUUGGCUGAGAUAUUUAAUCAGUAUCCACGAUUCGUUGACAUGCCACACCUGUUGGAUUUAGACUUCGAUAAACAGUUCGAGGGGAAGGCUGAUCUUUUCCUUCGCAAAUGGGAGACAAAUAUCAUCCCUAAGCUGGUGAAGGUUGCUUCGUUGGAGAUGUCUGAGGAUCUGGAAAAUCCUUCAACCACCGGGAACAACAGUGAUGACAUGCUUUGCUUCAAAGCACUUCAGGUGCUCACGCACCUUCUUCCACCAACGGCAUCAGGACGAGGGGCUGGAUGGAGUCGCUGCAGUGUUAAAUCAGCCAUUUCCUACCUCAUGGACUUUGUGCAACCUGGAACGAGCAUUUCAUCAUUGCUUGAUAAUCCUGAUCCAUCGAGGGGCCACCAGCCAUGCAUCGUGUGCAUUGGACACCCAAGUGGAGCUGCCCAGCAGUAUCUGAUCGUCGCCAAAAGUGACAAGAUUGCUGUGCCACUUGGAGACGAAGGGCUGACCUGCGCAAUUGACAAGCUCUUCAAGAUGUAUUGGGUUUGCAAUCUUAAGUACCCUGUCCAACUGCAGUCUGUUUUCUCCUUCCUGGAGCAUAUUUAUGAAUUACCAAUUACUGUAAACAAAAGAUCUAAAGUUAUUGAGCUUAUCUCCAAGCUCCAGGCUAUAUCAUAAAUAAGCCAUGUAUGUGUGCCCAAG
ensembl:lncRNA